ACGGGUGAGUAAUGCCUAGGAAUCUGCCUGGUAGUGGGGGACAACGUUUCGAAAGGAACGCUAAUACCGCAUACGUCCUACGGGAGAAAGCAGGGGACCUUCGGGCCUUGCGCUAUCAGAUGAGCCUAGGUCGGAUUAGCUAGUUGGUGAGGUAAUGGCUCACCAAGGCGACGAUCCGUAACUGGUCUGAGAGGAUGAUCAGUCACACUGGAACUGAGACACGGUCCAGACUCCUACGGGAGGCAGCAGUGGGGAAUAUUGGACAAUGGGCGAAAGCCUGAUCCAGCCAUGCCGCGUGUGUGAAGAAGGUCUUCGGAUUGUAAAGCACUUUAAGUUGGGAGGAAGGGUUGUAGAUUAAUACUCUGCAAUUUUGACGUUACCGACAGAAUAAGCACCGGCUAACUCUGUGCCAGCAGCCGCGGUAAUACAGAGGGUGCAAGCGUUAAUCGGAAUUACUGGGCGUAAAGCGCGCGUAGGUGGUUUGUUAAGUUGGAUGUGAAAUCCCCGGGCUCAACCUGGGAACUGCAUCCAAAACUGGCAAGCUAGAGUAUGGUAGAGGGUGGGUGGAAUUUCCUGUGUAGCGGUGA
rnacentral:rRNA from 1 species